GAUGGCGAACCCAUAUGGCAAUCGGCGAAAGCCUAAGCUGCAUCUCAAGCCGGCGCUUGAAAUGGGGGCUCCGAUCCCGUCUACGUCGAGCUCGCCUAGCGCCUGCUCGCCCGCCGCUGAGAUAUAUGAUUUAAUUUCGCAUGGGGAAAAUAAGAGAAGACAGAUAGACAGAUCUAUGGGAAAAUUUCUGAAUACAUGCAUCUGGUGUGCCAUUGUUUUUUCAGGUAUGGAGCCACUCCCAUGUGAUUUAGCUUAAUAUUCUAUGUACAAUACCUUCACCUUCCACUACAACGGGGUGUAUGAGGUUGGCAUGAUGCUAUGAGAGGUACUAACUAUCUCAGCAGUGAGCUCUUUAUGCAAUCCUGAUCUUCAUAAGCAGAUGGCUGAAACGAUUAGCUAAAACUAAAAGCGCUGCAGGGAUACUUGAUUGCUGCACUAUCUAAACCGUCUAAUACCAGUUUCAGAUAUCUGGUUAAACAUGUUUCCUUGGAAUGUCUUUGAUGGAUUUUAGGUGUUUUGGUACCACGAUCUGCUGUUAGAAUUCAUUCAUUGAUUCUGGUUGAUUGGAUUAGACUGAUCCAGUUGAUUCAAGUAACUAUAUUUACAACUUUACCAAGCUACUGAAACAAGUUCUGGCUAAACCACCUAUUAUAUUGAUCCGUUUUGGUGCAAUUAAGCCAGUGUUGCUUAUCAUAUAGUGACGUCUCAUGUUCUGCAUCUACCGUCUUAUGCAUAUUGCGACCAUGCCUGGGAUAGGGUUGACCCUAGCCUGCAGUGACUCCCUUCCUCGAGAUGGCGCACCCAUAUGGCACUGGCAGAAAGCCUAAGCUGCAUCUCAAGCCGACGCUUGAAAUGGGGGCUCCGAUCCCGUCUACGUCGAGCUUGCAUAGCGCCCGGUUAGUGCCGAGGAACUUGAAAAAUCACCAAAGAUGAAUUUCCUGAUAUUAGAAGGUUUUAAUUGUCAAACGCAAUUGUAUUAAUCAUCUGGCACUUUUUUGGA